AGAGUUUGAUCAUGGCUCAGGAUGAACGCUAGCGGCAGGCCUAAUACAUGCAAGUCAGACGGGUCGCAAGGCAACGUGGCGGACGGGUGCGUAACACGUAUGUAAUCUACCUUUUGCUGGGGGACAACGGGGGGAAACUCCCGAUAAUUCCGCAUGUGGCGAUUGGGGCGCGAGCUCUGGUUGUUAAAGGCUUCGGUCGGCAGGAGAUGAGCGUGCGGUCGAUUAGCUAGUUGGCGGGGUAAAGGCCCACCAAGGCGAUGAUCGAUAGCUGGUCUGAGAGGAUGAUCAGCCACACUGGGACUGAGACACGGCCCAGACUCCUACGGGAGGCAGCAGUAGGGAAUAUUGGGCAAUGGGCGAAAGCCUGACCCAGCCAUGCCGCGUGAACGAUGAAGGCCCAUUGGGUUGUAAAGUUCUUUUCUUCGGGGAUAAGACGAUAGUUGCUAUUGGUUGCAGGUACCGGAGGAAUAAGCACCGGCCAACUACGUGCCAGCAGCCGCGGUAAUUC
rnacentral:rRNA from 1 species